rnacentral:rRNA from 1 species
CCCUUAGAUGUUCUGGGCGGCCCGCGCACUACAAUGGCGCUUUCAGCGAGUUCCUAUGUUGAAUUUUCCUUGGUAUUCUUGGAAGCGGCGUCUUGACUUGGGAUAGAUCCUUGUAAUUGUUGGUUUUGAACGAGGAAUUCCUUGUAAUCGCGGUUGAUCAGCUCGCGUUGAAUACGUCCCCGCCCUUUGUACACACCGCCCGUCGCUCCUACCGAUGAAUCGUCCGGUGAAGUUCACAGAGUGGCGGUUCGUGGAGUUGCUCGCGAAGUGAAAUGGACCUCACGAUUUAGAGGAAGGAGAAGUCGUAACA